CUUACUUCCCUUUACACGUAUUCACACACAAAAAAGCGAAAGAGCUUGCCUCGAUCACCCAAUAGGUCAAUUUGGCACAUUAGCCAGGAGGAAGCAGAUCCUGAGUGUUUUCGACCACAAACUCCAUCCCUCCCGAUUUGCAACCAUCCCUGGACCAGUGACAGGUGCAUAGGCAGCCAUGUCAUUGGAACUAAGCAAGGAGGAAGCCAGUGGAAACAAUGAAAGGGGCCACUCUGGUUAUCACCUUGGGGUCAGGGGAGUGCCCUCUACCCCAAACGUUACUUCCCUUUACACGUAUUCACACACAGAAAAGCGAAAGAGCGUGCCUCGAUCACCCAAUACGUCAAUUUGGCCCAUUAGCCAGGAAGAAGCAGAUCCUGAGUGUUUUUGACCACAGACUCCAUCCCUCCCGAUUUGCAACCAUCCCUGGACCAGUGACAGGUGCAUAGGCAGCCAUGUCAUUGGAACUAAGCAAGGAGGAAGCCAGUGGAAACAAUGAAAGGGGCCACUCUGGUUAUCACCUUGGGGUCAGGGGAGUGCCCUCUACCCCAAACGUUACUUCCCUUUACACGUAUUCACACACAGAAAAGCGAAAGAGCGUGCCUCGAUCACCCAAUACGUCAAUUUGGCCCAUUAGCCAGGAAGAAGCAGAUCCUGAGUGUUUUUGACCACAGACUCCAUCCCUCCCGAUUUGCAACCAUCCCUGGACCAGUGACAGGUGCAUAGGCAGCCAUGUCAUUGGAACUAAGCAAGGAGGAAGCCAGUGGAAACAAUGAAAGGGGCCACUCUGGUUAUCACCUUGGGGUCAGGGGAGUGCCCUCUACCCCAAACGUUACUUCCCUUUACACGUAUUCACACACAGAAAAGCGAAAGAGCGUGCCUCGAUCACCCAAUACGUCAAUUUGGCCCAUUAGCCAGGAAGAAGCAGAUCCUGAGUGUUUUUGACCACAGACUCCAUCCCUCCCGAUUUGCAACCAUCCCUGGACCAGUGACAGGUGCAUAGGCAGCCAUGUCAUUGGAACUAAGCAAGGAGGAAGCCAGUGGAAACAAUGAAAGGGGCCACUCUGGUUAUCACCUUGGGGUCAGGGGAGUGCCCUCUACCCCAAACGUUACUUCCCUUUACACGUAUUCACACACAGAAAAGCGAAAGAGCGUGCCUCGAUCACCCAAUACGUCAAUUUGGCCCAUUAGCCAGGAAGAAGCAGAUCCUGAGUGUUUUUGACCACAGACUCCAUCCCUCCCGAUUUGCAACCAUCCCUGGACCAG